GGGGUAACAUUGUAGCUUGCUACAGAUGACGACCGGCGCACGGGUGCGUAACGCGUAUAGAACUUACCUUUUACAGAGGGAUAGCCUUUAGAAAUGAAGAUUAAUACCUCAUAGUAUUGAGAACUGGCAUCGGUUUUUAAUUAAAGAUUUAUCGGUAAAAGAUGGCUAUGCGUCCUAUUAGCUAGAUGGUAAGGUAACGGCUUACCAUGGCUACGAUAGGUAGGGGCCCUGAGAGGGGGAUCCCCCACACUGGUACUGAGACACGGACCAGACUCCUACGGGAGGCAGCAGUGAGGAAUAUUGGGCAAUGGAGGAGACUCUGACCCAGCCAUGCCGCGUGCAGGAAGACUGCCCUAUGGGUUGUAAACUGCUUUUAUACAGGAAGAAACACUGCUACGUGUAGCAGCUUGACGGUACUGUAAGAAUAAGGACCGGCUAACUCCGUGCCAGCAGCCGCGGUAAUACGGAGGGUCCGAGCGUUAUCCGGAAUCAUUGGGUUUAAAGGGUCCGCAGGCGGUCGAUUAAGUCAGAGGUGAAAUCCCAUAGCUUAACUAUGGAACUGCCUUUGAUACUGGUUGACUUGAGUCAUAUGGAAGUAGAUAGAAUGUGUAGUGUAGCGGUGAAAUGCAUAGAUAUUACACAGAAUACCGAUUGCGAAGGCAGUCUACUACGUAUGUACUGACGCUCAUGGACGAAAGCGUGGGGAGCGAACAGGAUUAGAUACCCUGGUAGUCCACGCCGUAAACGAUGGACACUAGUUGUUGGGCAUUAGCUCAGUGACUAAGCGAAAGUGAUAAGUGUCCCACCUGGGGAGUACGAUCGCAAGAUUGAAACUCAAAGGAAUUGACGGGGGCCCGCACAAGCGGUGGAGCAUGUGGUUUAAUUCGAUGAUACGCGAGGAACCUUACCAGGGCUUAAAUGUAGUAUGACAGGUUUAGAGAUAGACUUUUCUUCGGACAUAUUACAAGGUGCUGCAUGGUUGUCGUCAGCUCGUGCCGUGAGGUGUCAGGUUAAGUCCUAUAACGAGCGCAACCCUUGUCGUUAGUUGCCAGCAUGUAAAGAUGGGGACUCUAACGAGACUGCCGGUGCAAACCGCGAGGAAGGUGGGGAUGACGUCAAAUCAUCACGGCCCUUACGUCCUGGGCCACACACGUGCUACAAUGGUAUGGACAAUGAGCAGCCAU
rnacentral:rRNA from 2 species